rnacentral:rRNA from 1 species
UAGCAUGACGUCAGACAA